CCUACGGGAGGCAGCAGUGGGGAAUAUUGGGCAAUGGGCGCAAGCCUGACCCAGCAACGCCGCGUGAAGGUAGAAGGCUUUCGGGUUGUAAACUUCUUUUCUCAGGGACGAAGAAAGUGACGGUACCGGAGGAAUAAGGCACGGCUAAAUACGUGCCAGCAGCCGCGGUAAUACGGAGGGGGCAAGCGUUAUCCGGAUUUAUUGGGUUCAAAGGGCGUGUAGGCGGGAGCGGAAGUCAGUUGUGAAAACUCAGGGCUCAACCCUGAGCCUGCAUUUGAAACUGUGUUUCUUGAGUGCUGGAGAGGCAAUCGGAAUUCCGUGUGUAGCGGUGAAAUGCGUAGAUAUACGGAGGAACACCAGUGGCGAAGGCGGAUUGCUGGACAGGAACUGACGCUGAGGCGCGAAAGCGUGGGGAGCAAACAGGAUUAGAUACCCCAGUAGUC
rnacentral:rRNA from 1 species